UGGGGAAUUUUGGACAAUGGGCGCAAGCCUGAUCCAGCCAUGCCGCGUGCGGGAAGAAGGCCUUCGGGUUGUAAACCGCUUUUGUCAGGGAAGAAAUCUUCUGAGUUAAUACCUCGGGAGGAUGACGGUACCUGAAGAAUAAGCACCGGCUAACUACGUGCCAGCAGCCGCGGUAAUACGUAGGGUGCAAGCGUUAAUCGGAAUUACUGGGCGUAAAGCGUGCGCAGGCGGUUUUGUAAGACAGAGGUGAAAUCCCCGGGCUCAACCUGGGAACUGCCUUUGUGACUGCAAGGCUUGAGUGCGGCAGAGGGGGGAUGGAAUUCCGCGUGUAGCAGUGAAAUGCGUAGAUAUGCGGAGGAACACCGAUGGCGAAGGCAAUCCCCUGGGCCUGCACUGACGCUCAUGCACGAAAGCGUGGGGAGCAAAACAGGAUUAGAUACCCCUGGUAGUCCACGCCCUAAAACGAUGUC
rnacentral:rRNA from 1 species